rnacentral:sRNA from 1 species
AUUUUUCGACAAAACUUCUCAUUUUUCGCCAAUCUUAAGCCUUUGACAACUUUUUUGGGUAUAUGUCAUACUAUAAAGUGUAUAGAAAAUCUAUACAAAGAUUCGCAUGAUGAAGGGAUUGUGAAACAUGUUAGGAAAAGUAAAAUGGUUUAACGCAGAAAAAGGUUUUGGAUUUAUUGAGCGCGAAGACGGAGACGAUGUGUUCGUACACUUCUCUGCAAUCAACACUGACGGAUUCAAAAGCCUUGACGAAGGUCAGCAAGUCGAGUUUGAUAUUGUAGAUGGAGCUCGUGGGCCUCAAGCGGCAAACGUAACUAAACUAUAAUUCAAGGUACUAUGACCAUACUUUUAAUCCCGUCUGUUCAGGCAG